GGGUGUGCCUCAGUGGCAGAGCCUCUGCUUUGCAAGCUGAAGGUCCCAGGUUCAAUCCUUGGCAUCUCCA
rnacentral:tRNA from 1 species